CGUGUAGGCGGGGCGGUGCGUCGGUCGCUGAAAUCCCCCGGCUCAACCGGGGAAGGGGCGCCGAUACGACCGGCCUGGAGCGACGUAGGGGGAACUGGAACUUCCGGUGGAGCGGUGAAAUGCGUUGAGAUCGGAAGGAACGCCCGUGGCGAAAGCGAGUUCCUGGACGUCGGCUGACGCUGAGACGCGAAAGCCAGGGGAGCGAACG
rnacentral:rRNA from 1 species